rnacentral:rRNA from 1 species
UACGAAGGGGGCUAGCGUUGCUCGGAAUGACUGGGCGUAAAGGGCGCGUAGGCGGUUUGUACAGUCAGAUGUGAAAUUCCCGGGCUCAACCUGGGGGCUGCAUUUGAUACGUGCGGACUUGAGUGGGGAAGAGGGUCGUGGAAUUCCCAGUGUAGAGGUGAAAUUCGUAGAUAUUGGGAAGAACACCGGUGGCGAAGGCGGCGACCUGGUCCGUGACUGACGCUGAGGCGCGAAAGCGUGGGGAGCAAACAGG